AGCGAACGCUGGCGGCAGGCCUAACACAUGCAAGUCGAACGAACCUUUCGGGGUUAGUGGCGGACGGGUGAGUAACACGUGGGAACGUGCCUUUAGGUUCGGAAUAACUCAGGGAAACUUGUGCUAAUACCGAAUGUGCCCUUCGGGGGAAAGAUUAAUCGCCUUUAGAGCGGCCCGCGUCUGAUUAGCUAGUUGGUUGAGGUAAUGGCUCACCAAGGCGACGAUCAGUAGCUGGUCUGAGAGGAUGAUCAGCCACAUUGGGACUGAGACACGGCCCAAACUCCGACGGGAGGCAGCAGUGGGGAAUCUUGCGCAAUGGGCGAAAGCCUGACGCAGCCAUGCCGCGUGAAUGAUGAAGGGCUUAGGAUUGUAAAAUUCUUUCACCGGGGACGAUAAUGACGGUACCCGGAGAAGAAGCCCCGGCUAACUUCGU
rnacentral:rRNA from 1 species